rnacentral:lncRNA from 1 species
CCCUUCUCAGUAUUCUAAGACAGCAUAUGAUCUAGGAUUAGAAGCUUGAACCCCAAAUUUUAGUAGUAGCAAAGUGGUGUUAGUGUUAUCAGAAUUCAAUAGAUUAUGUAUCCAUCGGUCUAUUUGUAUGAAAGGUGAAUCUGUAGGCUUGAAAUAGUGUAUGUAAGAAUUUAAGUAUGUUGAUUUGAAAUUAUAUCUUGUUUAUAUUUGGCAUGUUGG